UCAAGCUACAAAGGGCGCAUGGUGAAUGCCUUGGCAUCAGGAGCCGAUGAAGGACGUGAUAAGCUGCGAUAAGCUUCGGGUAGGCGCACAUAGCCUGAGAUCCGAAGAUCUCCGAAUGAGGAAACUCACAUGGGAAACCCCAUGUAUCAUUAAGUGAAUACAUAGCUUAAUGAAGGUAACCCAGGGAACUGAAACAUCUAAGUACCUGGAGGAAGAGAAAGAAAAAUCGAUUUUCUUAGUAGCGGCGAGCGAAAGGGAAAGAGCCCAAACCGGAAACUUGUUUCCGGGGUUGUGGACAUAACAUAAAAGUGGAGGCUAUUGUAACUGAAGAGAACUGGAAAGUUCCACCGUAGAAGGUAAUAGUCCUGUAAGUGAAACGAGAAGACCACGAGUUAUGAUCCAGAGUACCACGAGACACGUGAAACCUUGUGGGAAGCAGGGAGGACCACCUCCCAAGGCUAAAUACUACCUGAUGACCGAUAGUGAAGCAGUACCGUGAGGGAAAGGUGAAAAGAACCCCGGGAGGGGAGUGAAAUAGAACCUGAAACCGUGUGCCUACAACCGCUCAGAGCCCCUUAUGAGGGUGAUGAGGUGCUUUUUGUAGAACGAGCCAACGAGUUACGGUAUGUAGCAAGGUUAAGUACUUAAGGUACGGAGCCGAAGGGAAACCGAGUCUGAAUAGGGCGACUAGUUGCAUGCCGUAGACCCGAAACCGGGUGACCUAUCCAUGGCCAGGUUGAAGCGAGGGUAAAACCUCGUGGAGGACCGAACCACGUUGCUGUUGAAAAAGCAUGGGAUGAGCUGUGGAUAGCGGAGAAAUUCCAAUCGAACCCGGAGAUAGCUGGUUCUCUCCGAAAUAGCUUUAGGGCUAGCGUCGAGUAUGAGUAGUGGAGGUAGAGCACUGAAUGGGCUAGGGGGCAUAGCGCUUACCGAACCUUAUCAAACUCCGAAUGCCACAUACUUUGAGCUCGGCAGUCAGACUACGAAUGAUAAGAUCCGUGGUCAAAAGGGAAACAGCCCAGAUCGUCAGCUAAGGUCCCAAAGUGUAAGUUAAGUGGGAAAGGAUGUGAGAUUUCUAAGACAACUAGGAUGUUGGCUUAGAAGCAGCCAUUCAUUAAAAGAGUGCGUAAUAGCUCACUAGUCGAGAGAUCUUGCGCCGAAAAUGUAACGGGGCUAAACUUACCACCGAAGCUACGGGCUUGAACUUAGUUCAAGCGGUAGGAGAGCGUCGUAACCGGGCUGAAGUCGUACCGUAAGGAGCGGUGGACUGGUUACGAGUGAGAAUGUUGGCAUCAGUAGCGAGAUGUGGGUGAGAAUCCCACAGGCCGAAAACCUAAGGUUUCCUCAGGAAGGUUCGUCCGCUGAGGGUUAGUCGGGACCUAAGCCGAGGCCGAAAGGCGUAGGUGAUGGACAACUGGUUGAUAUUCCAGUACCACUACCAUCGUUAUUAUCGAUGGCGUGACGCAGGAGGAUAGUGUGUGCUAGCUAUUGGAUGCUAGUCUAAGCGUUUAGGCAGUGAGAGUAGGCAAAUCCGCUCUCAUAAUGCUGAGGCGUGAUGGGGAAGGUUCUACGGAACCGAAGUACAUGAUUCCACGCUGCCAAGAAAAGCGUCUAGAGAGAGAAGUAGUGCCCGUACCGCAAACCGACACAGGUAGGUGAGGAGAGAAUCCUAAGGCCGGCGGAAGAAUUACAGUUAAGGAACUCGGCAAAUUGACCCCGUAAGUUCGCGAGAAGGGGUGCCUACGAGAGUAGGCCGCAGAGAAUAGGCCCAAGCAACUGUUUAGCAAAAACACAGGUCUCUGCUAAAGCGUAAGCUGAUGUAUAGGGGCUGACGCCUGCCCGGUGCUGGAAGGUUAAGGGGAACACUUAGCGCAAGCGAAGGUGUGAACUUAAGCCCCAGUAAACGGCGGCCGUAACUAUAACGGUCCUAAGGUAGCGAAAUUCCUUGUCAGGUAAGUUCU
rnacentral:rRNA from 1 species